CCCCGUACAMMAAAAUGCACAUGCUGUGAGCUCGAUGAGUAGGGCGGGACACGUGGUAUCCUGUCUGAAUAUGGGGGGACCAUCCUCCAAGGCUAAAUACUCCUGACUGACCGAUAGUGAACCAGUACCGUGAGGGAAAGGCGAAAAGAACCCCGGCGAGGGGAGUGAAAAAGAACCUGAAACCGUGUACGUACAAGCAGUGGGAGCCUCUUUAUGGGGUGACUGCGUACCUUUUGUAUAAUGGGUCAGCGACUUAUAUUCUGUAGCAAGGUUAACCGAAUAGGGGAGCCGAAGGGAAACCGAGUCUUAACUGGGCGUUAAGUUGCAGGGUAUAGACCCGAAACCCGGUGAUCUAGCCAUGGGCAGGUUGAAGGUUGGGUAACACUAACUGGAGGACCGAACCGACUAAUGUUGAAAAAUUAGCGGAUGACUUGUGGCUGGGGGUGAAAGGCCAAUCAAACCGGGAGAUAGCUGGUUCUCCCCGAAAGCUAUUUAGGUAGCGCCUCGUGAAUUCAUCUCCGGGGGUAGAGCACUGUUUCGGCAAGGGGGUCAUCCCGACUUACCAACCCGAUGCAAACUGCGAAUACCGGAGAAUGUUAUCACGGGAGACACACGGCGGGUGCUAACGUCCGUCGUGAAGAGGGAAACAACCCAGACCGCCAGCUAAGGUCCCAAAGUCAUGGUUAAGUGGGAAACGAUGUGGGAAGGCCCAGACAGCCAGGAUGUUGGCUUAGAAGCAGCCAUCAUUUAAAGAAAGCGUAAUAGCUCACUGGUCGAGUCGGCCUGCGCGGAAGAUGUAACGGGGCUAAACCAUGCACCGAAGCUGCGGCAGCGACGCUGAUGCGUUGUUGGGUAGGGGAGCGUUCUGUAAGCCUGUGAAGGUGUGCUGUGAGGCAUGCUGGAGGUAUCAGAAGUGCGAAUGCUGACAUAAGUAACGAUAAAGCGGGUGAAAAGCCCGCUCGCCGGAAGACCAAGGGUUCCUGUCCAACGUUAAUCGGGGCAGGGUGAGUCGACCCCUAAGGCGAGGCCGAAAGGCGUAGUCGAUGGGAAACAGGUUAAUAUUCCUGUACUUGGUGUUACUGCGAAGGGGGGACGGAGAAGGCUAUGUUGGCCGGGCGACGGUUGUCCCGGUUUAAGCGUGUAGGCUGGUUUUCCAGGCAAAUCCGGAAAAUCAAGGCUGAGGCGUGAUGACGAGGCACUACGGUGCUGAAGCAACAAAUGCCCUGCUUCCAGGAAAAGCCUCUAAGCAUCAGGUAACAUCAAAUCGUACCCCAAACCGACACAGGUGGUCAGGUAGAGAAUACCAAGGCGCUUGAGAGAACUCGGGUGAAGGAACUAGGCAAAAUGGUGCCGUAACUUCGGGAGAAGGCACGCUGAUAUGUAGGUGAAGUCCCUCGCGGAUGGAGCUGAAAUCAGUCGAAGAUACCAGCUGGCUGCAACUGUUUAUUAAAAACACAGCACUGUGCAAACACGAAAGUGGACGUAUACGGUGUGACGCCUGCCCGGUGCCGGAAGGUUAAUUGAUGGGGUCAGCGCAAGCGAAGCUCUUGAUCGAAGCCCCGGUAAACGGCGGCCGUAACUAUAACGGUCCUAAGGUAGCGAAAUUCCUUGUCGGGUAAGUUCCGACCUGCACGAAUGGCGUAAUGAUGGCCAGGCUGUCUCCACCCGAGACUCAGUGAAAUUGAACUCGCUGUGAAGAUGCAGUGUACCCGCGGCAAGACGGAAAGACCCCGUGAACCUUUACUAUAGCUUGACACUGAACAUUGAGCCUUGAUGUGUAGGAUAGGUGGGAGGCUUAGAAGUGUGGACGCCAGUCUGCAUGGAGCCGACCUUGAAAUACCACCCUUUAAUGUUUGAUGUUCUAACGUUGACCCGUAAUCCGGGUUGCGGACAGUGUCUGGUGGGUAGUUUGACUGGGGCGGUCUCCUCCUAAAGAGUAACGGAGGAGCACGAAGGUUGGCUAAUCCUGGUCGGACAUCAGGAGGUUAGUGCAAUGGCAUAAGCCAGCUUGACUGCGAGCGUGACGGCGCGAGCAGGUGCGAAAGCAGGUCAUAGUGAUCCGGUGGUUCUGAAUGGAAGGGCCAUCGCUCAACGGAUAAAAGGUACUCCGGGGAUAACAGGCUGAUACCGCCCAAGAGUUCAUAUCGACGGCGGUGUUUGGCACCUCGAUGUCGGCUCAUCACAUCCUGGGGCUGAAGUAGGUCCCAAGGGUAUGGCUGUUCGCCAUUUAAAGUGGUACGCGAGCUGGGUUUAGAACGUCGUGAGACAGUUCGGUCCCUAUCUGCCGUGGGCGCUGGAGAACUGAGGGGGGCUGCUCCUAGUACGAGAGGACCGGAGUGGACGCAUCACUGGUGUUCGGGUUGUCAUGCCAAUGGCACUGCCCGGUAGCUAAAUGCGGAAGAGAUAAGUGCUGAAAGCAUCUAAGCACGAAACUUGCCCCGAGAUGAGUUCUCCCUGACCCUUUAAGGGUCCUGAAGGAACGUUGAAGACGACGACGUUGAUAGGCCGGGUGUGUAAGCGCAGCGAUGCGUUGAGCUAACCGGUACUAAUGAACCGUGAGGCUUAACCUU
rnacentral:rRNA from 1 species